AUUGAACGCUGGCGGCAGGCCUAACACAUGCAAGUCGAGCGGAUGAAGGGAGCUUGCUCCUGGAUUCAGCGGCGGACGGGUGAGUAAUGCCUAGGAAUCUGCCUGGUAGUGGGGGAUAACGUCCUGAAACGGGCGCUAAUACCGCAUACGUCCUGAGGGAGAAAGUGGGGGAUCUUCGGACCUCACGCUAUCAGAUGAGCCUAGGUCGGAUUAGCUAGUUGGUGGGGUAAAGGCCUACCAAGGCGACGAUCCGUAACUGGUCUGAGAGGAUGAUCAGUCACACUGGAACUGAGACACGGUCCAGACUCCUACGGGAGGCAGCAGUGGGGAAUAUUGGACAAUGGGCGAAAGCCUGAUCCAGCCAUGCCGCGUGUGUGAAGAAGGUCUUCGGAUUGUAAAGCACUUUAAGUUGGGAGGAAGGGCAGUAAGUUAAUACCUUGCUGUUUUGACGUUACCCACAGAAUAAGCACCGGCUAACUUCGUG
rnacentral:rRNA from 1 species